GGGCGUUUAACUCAGUUGGAAGAGUACCUGGUUUGCAACCAGGAAGCCGUGGGUUCAAAUCCCACAACGUCCA
rnacentral:tRNA from 1 species